ACUACUAAUCACUAGUUUCUGACUCAUCUAUGAGACUAAACCGUUGUUUAUCACAACCUCUGUAAUUUCAUCAUUUCUAUUAUUUAUUUCACAAACGGGUUGGAGUUUAAAAAUUUGUUUUUGCCAAAGUCAUAUAUUCAAAAAGUUGAUUUGGUCGCAUUAAGAGUCAAACAGAACAAAUACACACCCAUGUGGGAGUAUAGAUAAGCUCUGAAUCACCCUGUUUCCCUCGAGGUUUUGAGAUUACACUGGCAAUGAGGGAAUAUAUGGCAUGAAAAACUUCAUAUGUAUCAAUCCUUAUCAAAUGGGAUUUCUUUUUUUUUCCAGUACAAUGAAGUCUCACCCAUUGUAGGGUAAUUAUUUUUGGGAGGGUCUUUACAGAAAAACGUCCAGCUCCUACAUGCUUCGUCAACGAGAGGUUGCUGGUGGAAUUCUGGUCCGAGCUCCCAUGGGAGAACAGAGAAUAUAGUUUCAGGAGUUGUUGGAAUUCCUACACCUGUUCCACCCCUUUGUUCAGUGUAGGAAGGCGAUACAUAAACUAAUGCAUAAUAAGUAUAUGAAUAAGCUUUAUAAUAGAUCGAAUUGUUGGGAAAAAAACCUAACUUAUUUAUACAAUACUGAAAUCAUGGUCGAAUUAAUAAAAUCUUUUAAUAUAUU
rnacentral:sRNA from 1 species